UACGUAGGGUGCGAGCGUUAAUCGGAAUUACUGGGCGUAAAGCGUGCGCAGGCGGUGAUGCAAGACAGAGGUGAAAUCCCCGGGCUCAACCUGGGAACUGCCUUUGUGACUGCAUGACUAGAGUACGGUAGAGGGGGAUGGAAUCCGCGUGUAGCAGUGAAAUGCGUAGAUAUGCGGAGGAACACCGAUGGCGAAGGCAAUCCCCUGGACCUGUACUGACGCUCAUGCACGAAACGUGGGGAGCAAACAGG
rnacentral:rRNA from 1 species